AGUCUUAUAUUCAAUAAAUUGAUUAUAGAAUGCAAUUCUAUAUAAGUGGAUAAUAAAUUCACUAAGACUU
rnacentral:tRNA from 1 species